rnacentral:lncRNA from 1 species
UUAAAACCGCAUAUAUUAUGCUAAACAAAAGCAUCCAUGCCUACUUGAGCUAAAAUCUAAAAAGAUAAAAUUUGAUGGAAUUCAUACAAAUUACUAAAGAGCUAAUUUAAGAAAAUGUUCUUAAACCAACACAUUUCUGAUAAUAAAGUACCAUACAACGAACACAACAUCUUUUCAGAACUUAAAGAGUUUGCUAAGGUUGUAUCUCCUGUUAACAUCAUCCUUGGUGUAAUCAAUCAUGGACCUGAGUCCAGGAGAGCGAUGAUCUCACCACUCUUGGACUGAUCUAUUUGACACCAAAUAGCUGUAAUUCUUUGCAUCUUGCAUUGUGCAACAGAGUAUUCAAUUUGAUUUCAACUCUUUAAUAUUGAAUACGGAAGUUAAAGAUCUAUUCUCUUAUUUCUGCUACAAAAAAAUAGAUUAGUAAAGGUUACUAACUCUCUAAUGGUGUUUUAAUGCAUCACUUUCAUAGUAUAAAUGUGCAAACAAAAAAAAUAUAAGAUUCAAACUUCUAAUUCUCGUAUUCCAGACACUACAUGUUCUUAAGGAAUGCUUCAUCGGUCAUGUCCUUUUGUUUCUUUGUUUGGGAUAAAAAAAUGCAGUAAUUAGGAGCAGAAGAAAAGAAGAAACUAUCCAAAAGUUGCACCAUGCAAUCACUCGAACUUGAUUUGUGAACUUUAUGCUACUUUAUAUGUUAAUGGAUAUACUCCUUCCGUCCAGUAUUGUUUGUCAUUAUUUAUAUUUUUAGAGUCAAACUAUAAAUAUUUGACUAACAUUUUAAGAUGUAUUUCUUCAAAAUAUUAAUAUGCAUAAAAUUGUAAUUUACAGUACUUUUCAUAUAGUUUUAGAAUAUCUAAUUUUUUUGUUUAAAAAUAUCAAAUUAAUGGAAUCUAAUUUAUCUUUGAAAAUUAAUCAAAUUGACAUUCGAUAAGCGCAACAUGACAAACAAUUCCGAACGGAGAGAAUAAAAUAGUAGCGUGUUCAUAAAAUUAACAGAAUUUUUUUAUUAUACCUGUCUUUUCCUAACUUAGUAUCAACAACUAUAUGAAGUAAUAGUAGUUAAAUUUAGAGUUUUUUAUAGCACUAAUUAUACGACAGUUUAAUAAAAUACAUCUUCAAUAAAAUCUUUGUAAUUAGAAGUGUCUCAAGUCAAUAGAGAUCAAAUAAUACAAAGAAGCAAAAUUUACAUGUUUCAAUCUCUUGUAAAUAAAGGAAACUAAAUGAUAAUACUAAUUGCAUAUGAAAAAUCGUAAUUGGCACCUGAAUUUUAGGAGACAUGGCUAGAAUGUGAAGGCCAUAAGAAUGAAUACAGGAAAUCCCUAAAUUGAAGAAACUAAAAAAU